UACGUAGGGUGCAAGCGUUGUCCGGAAUUAUUGGGCGUAAAGAGCUCGUAGGCGGUGUGUCGCGUCGGCUGUGAAAACCUGGGGCUCAACCCUGGGCUUGCAGCUGAUACGGGCAGACUGGAGUUCGGCAGGGGAGACUGGAAUUCCUGGUGUAGCGGUGAAAUGCGCAGAUAUCAGGAGGAACACCGGUGGCGAAGGCGGGUCUCUGGGCCGAUACUGACGCUGAGGAGCGAAAGCGUGGGGAGCGAACAGG
rnacentral:rRNA from 1 species